rnacentral:rRNA from 1 species
AGAGUUUGAUCAUGGCUCAGAUUGAACGCUGGCGGCAUGCCUAACACAUGCAAGUCGAACGGAAACGAUGGGAGCUUGCUCCCAGGCGUCGAGUGGCGGACGGGUGAGUAACACAUAGGAAUCUGCCCAGUAGCGGGGGACAACUUGGGGAAACUCAAGCUAAUACCGCAUACGCCCUACGGGGGAAAGCAGGGGAUCUUCGGACCUUGCACUAUUGGAUGAGCCUAUGUCAGAUUAGCUUGUUGGUGGGGUAACGGCCUACCAAGGCGACGAUCUGUAGCUGGUCUGAGAGGACGAUCAGCCACACUGGGACUGAGACACGGCCCAGACUCCUACGGGAGGCAGCAGUGGGGAAUAUUGCACAAUGGGGGAAACCCUGAUGCAGCAAUGCCGCGUGUGUGAAGAAGGCCUGCGGGUUGUAAAGCACUUUCAGUAGGGAGGAAACAGUCACGGGUUAAUAUCCCGUGGCCUUGACGUUACCUACAGAAGAAGCACCGGCUAACUCUGUGCCAGCAGCCGCGGUAAUACAGAGGGUGCGAGCGUUAAUCGGAAUUACUGGGC